rnacentral:rRNA from 1 species
CAAAGGCCCCAAGGGGAGCCACGGCUAACUCUGUGCCAGCAGCCGCGGUAAUACAGAGGUGGCAAGCGUUGUUCGGUAUUAUUGGGCGUAAAGAGCACGUAGGUGGCUCUGUAAGUCAGAUGUGAAAGCCUUCUGUUCAAAGGAAGAACGGCAUCUGAAACUACAGAUCUUGAGUGUAGGAGGGGAGAGUGGAACUUCUGGUGGAGCGGUGAAAUGCGUAGAUAUCAGAAGGAACGUCGGCGGCGAAAGCGACUCUCUGGCCUAUUACUGACACUGAGUGUGCGAAAGUUAGGGGAGCAAACGGGAUUAGAUACCCCGGUAGUCCUAACUGUAAA